GUGAUACAUAUAAUGCCUUCUAUUCACUGUGUAGUCCGUGUUACAGGUGGACGAUCAGAGGGGAAAAGAAGAGCUAGAAUAACACCCUUUUAGUAAAUUGAGACAAAAUUAUUUAUAAUUUUGCCUUCUAUUUGCCUUUAGGUGUCAUGAGCGUACCUCAUACUGUCAAUAGCAAAUUAAUUUAUACGUUUUAACACCAUGGCUAUAGUCGGUAUCUGCGCAAGUGAUAUAUCU
rnacentral:snoRNA from 1 species